rfam:Gorilla gorilla gorilla genomic chromosome, chr10, whole genome shotgun sequence
UAUUAGGUUGGUGCAAAAGUAAUUGUGGUUUUUGCCAUUAAAAGUGAUGGCAAAAAACUGCAAUUACUUUUGCAUCAACCUAAUA